GGCUUGGUGGUGCAAUGGUUAGCACUGUUGGCUUGCAAUAAGGAGGCUCUGGGUUCAAGUGCCACUCAGCCA